rnacentral:siRNA from 1 species
CUACUUCUUUUUUCUUCAUCGACU